GUGAAUUCAUACAUUAAAUGUCCACUUCUCCCUAUGUCGAGAACAACACUUUAAAUGUCGAGAAAUGUACAGAACUCUAGGAAAUGGAAUGAAAUCUCGUUCUAGAUACAUGAACUGCCAAGUAUCAAGAUAAACAAGGUCUACGAUAACUACUUUCCAAAUGACGAAAACAUCAUGAAAUGUCAAGAACAAAUUAGAACUAUUCAUUGGAAUUGCAAAAUGACAAUGAGAUUUAUAAAAUAAAAAAUAAAAAAAAAAGUUUACAACAAAAUCGAUUAAACAUAGAAGUUUCCCCAAUACGAUUUUAAUGAAAGGUGUGCUAUAAAUCCUUGCUCGUAAUAAAUUUAACUUCACUAUUCAUAUGACAAGCACAUGGUCUACAACCUAUGUUGUCCAACAAAUGUCAAUCAAUUGUAAAUACAUGGAGUGAGAGUUGGUGUGUAGUUAUGUAAUACAAUUACACCUCAUUAACCAUGCUUUACACAUCUAUAUAAGGAUGUAUAUGAGUUGAAAGACAAUGUUCAGACACAAUUAUUCAUAAGAAAUUUCUAGCAGGAAGAGCUUCUUUUGACUUGUCUUCUUCAAUCGCAGAAACACCUCAUAUUGAUAUUGCUGUCCCGAAUCUUCGACGGACAUUACAAUCAUAAUCUACUCGGACAAUAAUGAACAAAUGCAUGCCGUUGUUUCCUACAUUCCUCAAUCUAGGAGCUGUCACUGUUGGAUGAGUGUUCAUCCAAUUCUAUUUUCCUAAUCUGGGAAACGAAUGGGAGCCUAGUGACACACAGUUGGUGAUCAUAAUACCAACAAUGAGAUCAUCCCGAUAAAAAUUCCACCGAAUGAACACCAUCUUUUGUUUGGCAUCCAAUACAUCAACGAGUUGGUCGACAAUGUUGGACUGGGCUCGGAUGUCAUGGGAAUUGCCGUACCAUAAGCACUGAUGACGAUAAUGGUAGUGCGAUAUCUUCUCAGUCCGUUGUUAAGGACAUGCUGAUAUCUUUGUAUAUCGUAAUUUUGUGACCACUUCAAAUAAGAAUCUCAUUGUCAUUGUCAUUAUUUAUGUUAACAAGUUUAAUAUUUUGCAAUGGAUAAGCA
rnacentral:lncRNA from 1 species